AUUGAACGCUGGCGGCAGGCCUAACACAUGCAAGUCGAACGAGUGGCGGACGGGUGAGUAAUGUCUGGGAAACUGCCUGAGGGAGGGGGAUAACCACGGGAAACGGGAGCUAAUACCACAUACUCUCAGAUGUGCCCAGAGGGGAGUAGCUUGUGGGUGGGGUAACGGCUCACCAAGGCGACGCACCCUAGCUGGUCUGAGAGGAUGACCAGCCACACGGGAACUGGGACACGGUCCAGACACCUAGGGGAGGCAGCAGUGGGGAAUAUUGCACAAUGGGCGCAAGCCUGAUGCAGCCAUGCCGGGUGUAUGAAGAAGGCCUUCGGGUUGUAAAGUACUUUCAGCGGGGAGGCGUUACCCGCAGAAGAAGCACCGGCUAACUCCGUGCCAGCAGCCGCGGUAAUAC
rnacentral:rRNA from 1 species